rnacentral:misc_RNA from 1 species
UGGUGAACCAGCGGAGGGAUCAUUACCGAGUUUACAACUCCCAAACCCCUGUGAACAUACCUAUCGUUGCUUCGGCGGGAUGCCCCAGUUUGACGCAAGCUGGACCCAGGCGCCCGCCGGAGGACCCAAACUCUUGUUUUAUUUAUGUAUCUUCUGAGUAAACAAGCAAAUAAACUAAAGCUUUCAACAACGGAUCUCUUGGUUCUGG